AAGAUUAAGCCAUGCAUGUCUAAGUGUAAGCAAAUUAUACUGUGAAACUGCGAAUGGCUCAUUAAAUCAGUUAUCGUUUAUUUGAUAUUACCUACUACUUGGAUAACCGUGGUAAUUCUAGAGCUAAUACAUGCACAAAAGCCCCGACUUCGGAAGGGGUGUAUUUAUUAGAUAAAAACCAAUGCCUUCGGGCUCGUUGGUGAUUCAUAAUAACUUUUCGGAGCGCAU
rnacentral:rRNA from 1 species